rnacentral:piRNA from 1 species
UAAAGUUUUGAAUCGUUGACA